GGAGAGGUGUCCGAGUGGUCGAAGGUGGUAGUCUCGAAAACUACUGCACCCAAAAGGUGCCGGGGGUUCGAAUCCCCCCCUCUCCGCCA
rnacentral:tRNA from 1 species